rnacentral:misc_RNA from 1 species
GAUGAAGAACGUAGCGAAAUGCGAUAAGUAAUGUGAAUUGCAGAAUUCAGUGAAUCAUCGAAUCUUUGAACGCACAUUGCGCCCUCCAGCACUCUGGCGGACAUGCCUGUUCGAGCGUCAUUUCAACCAUCAAGCCCCCAGGGGCUUGUGCUGGGGCCCUGCGGCUGCCCGCAGGCCCUGAAAACCAGUGGCGGGCUCGCUAGUCACACCGAGCGCAGUAGCACAUCUCGCUCAGGGCGUGCGGCGGGCUCCUGCCGUGAAACCCCCCACUGUAACCCCAAAGGUUGACCUCGGAUCAGGUAGGAAUACCCGCUGAACUUAAGCAUAUCAAUAAGCGGAGGA